rnacentral:rRNA from 1 species
AGCGAACGCUGGCGGCAGGCCUAACACAUGCAAGUCGAACGCACCUUCGGGUGAGUGGCGGACGGGUGAGUAACACGUGGGAACGUACCUUUUGGUUCGGAAUAACGCAGGGAAACUUGUGCUAAUACCGAAUGUGCCCUUCGGGGGAAAGAUUUAUCGCCAUUAGAGCGGCCCGCGUUAGAUUAGCUAGUUGGUGAGGUAAAGGCUCACCAAGGCUACGAUCUAUAGCUGGUCUGAGAGGAUGAUCAGCCACAUUGGGACU